ACAGAGGGUGCAAACGUUGCUCGGAAUCACUGGGCGUAAAGCGCGUGUAGGCGGGCUUCCAAGUCAGAUGUGAAAGCCCUGGGCUCAACCCAGGAACUGCAUUUGAAACUGGGAGCCUUGAGUACUGGAGAGGAAAGCGGAAUUCCUGGUGUAGAGGUGAAAUUCGUAGAUAUCAGGAGGAACACCGGUGGCGAAGGCGGCUUUCUGGACAGUAACUGACGCUGAGACGCGAAAGCGUGGGGAGCAAACAGG
rnacentral:rRNA from 1 species